CGGAGGGUGCAAGCGUUAUCCGGAUUUACUGGGUUUAAAGGGUGCGUAGGCGGGUAGGUAAGUCAGUGGUGAAAUCUUCGAGCUUAACUCGGAAAUUGCCGUUGAUACUAUUUAUCUUGAAUAUCGUUGAGGUUUGCGGAAUAUGUCAUGUAGCGGUGAAAUGCUUAGAGAUGACAUAGAACACCUAUUGCGAAGGCAGCAGGCUAAACGAACAUUGACGCUGAGGCACGAAAGCGUGGGAUCAAACAGGAUU
rnacentral:rRNA from 1 species